CCCUUAGAUGUUCUGGGCAGCACGCGCGCUACAAUGGUCUUCGCAAACGGAUGCAUUCUCGAAGGAGAAUGCCAAUCUUGGAAUCUAUGCCUUGGUCGGGACAGUUGCUUGCAAUUUUUCGACUCGAACCAGGAAUUCCUUGUGAUCGUGAUUCAUCACAUCACGAUGAAUACGUCCCUGCCCUUUGUACACACCGCCCGUCGCUCCUACCGAUCGAAGAGUUAGGUGAAUUGUUUUGAUCGAUAAGAUUUGACUAUGGUCAACUCUCGUUGUGAAAUUCUGUGAAUCUGACUGUUUAGAGGAAGGAAAAGUCGUAACA
rnacentral:rRNA from 1 species